rnacentral:lncRNA from 1 species
GCUCAGAAGCUUUCGCCUCCGCCUUCAGACUGGCCCUCAGGCUUCCCUGCUCAGAGGCAGGGAAUUGUGCAGCUGGAGUUUCAUUUUCCAAGAGGCAGGGUCUCAGUCUGUCACCCAGGCUGGAGUACAGUGGCACCAUCUUGGCUCACUCUAGCCUCGACCUCCUGGGCUCAAGUGAGCCUCCUACCUCAGUCUCCCAAAAUGCUGGGAUUACAAGCAUGAACCACUGUGACUUGCCUUCUUGGCAAUUUUAAAUGAAAGAAGAAGAUGGAAUAAUGCCUACUGAGGACUAUGUUUGAGGGGUGUUGUAUGACCCCGUUUUCCAUACCCAGCCAACUUGUCAUGUGACAAGUCCACAGAAAGAUGUUAUAUGACAGGAAUCUAUGAACUAGUCUUCCCUGAAAUGUACCUGACUACAGCUAACAUCAUAUCACAUGAUGAAAGACCGCGUUGUUUUCCCCUGAGGUUGGCACUGCAGCUGUGGGUGAUUCGGAUGGUCUGUUGGUGGAAUGUGGAGCUGGACGGGUCAAGGAGCACAGUGUGGAAAGAGGGACAAUUUGCUACAAGUUGGAGAUAAGAGACAUGGCAUACUGUGAAACCAGUGCUGACGGAAGAAGGUGACUUUCUUGGAAGGUCAAGACACUUGCUUGACAGCGAUGUCCAGGAGGGCUAGGGAGAGUUCUGCUGGAAGUGAAGGCAGCACCUGAGGGUGGCUGAGGGAACUGGUCAGGGCUGGGAACGCCUCCAGCCCUUUGAGGAAUGAUUCGCUGAUUAAGAGAUGUUUGGCCUUGAAAAUUGCAAGAAUGAAAUCUCUUGGUGGGAAUGUGUAGCCAAAAGCCAGCACCCUGAGUGGCUCCAAGGUUUGGGGACCCUCUCAAGGCACAAAUCCCAGUUCCUUUUCAAUUUUGAAAAUCGUUGUGGGCGAUUCUGGAAUUGAGAAGUGUGCUGAGAGCCAUGGAUUUAACAUGACAAGAAUUUCCGCCCCUUCGUCACUGAGCACACCGCAAAUGCUCCAGGGCCAGGGACUUACUUGGGCUUCUGCGUGUCUUCCACAGUGUGCAUCAAUCCGCCGGGCUCUGGUUGGUGUUUAAAAAAAAAGAUGCAGCGAAGGAAUCUGGUGUGGACAAACGCCCUGGGCAUGGACCAAAAGCCUGGCCCUUGUGUCCCUGGCAAUGGGACGGUGAAGGACAGAAAGACAGCACAUCCAGUAGUGUCAGGAGCUUGGAGCAGGCAUUCGGAAGCAUCUGUUAAAUGUUAUUGAUGGAGGAUUGACAUAACCCACAUCUGCAUAGCUUUUUUGGUCUGUUUUUGGAAGUGAACAGUCACAAACAAAAACAACUUUGGUUCAGGUCAUUUAUAGGCCCAGAUCCUCUAUCCUUAGAGGUUUCCCACCAGAUAUACUAUUUCACUAUCUAUGCCAGGAAAGUUACGUAAAACCACGCAGAAUUUUACCUGACAACGAAAUAGACCUUUUCGUUAGAUCCUCCACCCCACCUAAAGCAGUUACACAGGCUGAAAUGAAACUGUUAAAGGAAUGAACUAACUUGGAGAUAGAAUCAUCGCCUUUGCUGAACACCAUUUUAAGAAUAUUGGAAUAUAUAGGGGUACCAGCAUAAUAGUAAAAUGUGCCCAUAUUAUCUAUAAUUUUAUGCUGGGCACUUUUUAGAAAUUAUUUUUUAUAACUUUGUCUUUGAGAUGAUUUGGCUACAAGUUCAUUACAUUUAGUUUACAACUGGCUUUGAUUUCUUGGCAUUCGUUGUGUAUUAUUAGGAAACCCCGCAGAGAGAAAAUGUAAACUCCAAAUUGCUUUAAAAUAUUAUGAUAGUUUUUAGGGAUAUUACACUGUGACAGUGAAUGAAAUGGACGUAACGUUCUGUUUUGUAGAUAUUUUGUGAAAUCUUUAUUAGUCUUGAUUUUCUUUGGAACAAGUCAUUCCUGUUCUGGGCUGAAGCCUGAAAAUUCCCU